rnacentral:rRNA from 1 species
UGCCAGCAGCCGCGGUAAUACGAAGGUCCCAAGCGUUGUUCGGAAUCACUGGGCGUAAAGUGUGCGUAGGCGGCAAGGUAAGUCAGAUGUGAAAUCUUAGGGCUCAACCCUGAAACUGCAUCCGAUACUGCCAUGCUAGAGUAAUGGAGGGGUGACUGGAAUUCUCGGUGUAGCAGUGAAAUGCGUAGAUAUCGAGAGGAACACUCGUGGCGAAGGCGAGUCACUGGACAUUUACUGACGCUGAGGCACGAAGGCCAGGGUAGCGAAAGGGAUUAGAUA